rnacentral:rRNA from 1 species
AAGCAGCCAUACAUUCAAAGAGUGCGUAAUAGCUCACUGGUCGAGUGGUUCUGCGCCGAAAAUUUAACGGGGCUAAACGAUACACCGAAGCUUGGGAUGCAGCAUUGGCUGCAUGGUAGGAGAGCGUUCUGUACGGGGUGAAGUCAUAGCGGAAGCGGUGGUGGACUGUACAGAAGAGAGAAUGCCGGAAUGAGUAGCGAGAUUUAUGUGAGAAUCAUAAAGGCCGAAAGACUAAGGAUUUAGAAGGAAGGUUCGUCCGCUUCUAGUUAGCCGGGAGCUAAGGCGAGGCCGAAAGGCGUAGUCGAUGCACAUACGGUGGAGAUUCCGUAGCCGCCUCUUAAUUUAAGCAAAGGGACACUUUCAAAGGGAAUGACCCGGGCGUUGGUAGCCCCGGGCGAAAGGGACCGAAAUUAGAGUAGGGAAGCAUUUCUGGAGGAAGGCGAGAAAAGCUUUGCGGAUAGAGAGAGGCGCCCGUACCGCAAACCGACACAGGUAGAUCAGGAGAGGAUUCUAAGGCCAACGGGAGAAGGGUAGUUAAGGAACUCGGCAAAUUGACCCCGUAACUUCGGAAUAAGGGGUGCUCCUGAAAAGGAGCCGCAGUGAAUAGGCCCAGGCGACUGUUUAUCAAAAACACAGCUCUCUGCUAAAUCGAAAGAUGAAGUAUAGGGGGUGACACCUGCCCGGUGCUGGAAGGUUAAGAGGAAGGGUGCAAGCUCUGAAUUGAAGCCCCAGUAAACGGCGGCCGUAACUAUAACGGUCCUAAGGUAGCGAAAUUCCUUGUCGGGUAAGUUCCGACCCGCACGAAUGGUGUAACGAUCUGGGCACUGUCUCAACUACCCGCCCGGCGAAAUUGUAGUACCGGUGAAGAUGCCGGUUACCCGCGGCAAGACGGAAAGACCCCAUGGAGCUUUACUGUAGCCUGAUAUUGGGUUUCGGUAUUCUAUGUACAGGAUAGGCGGGAGACUGGGAACCGAUGGCGUCAGCUGUCGGGGAGUCACCCUUGGGAUACCGCUCUUAGAGUACUGGAAUUCUAACCUGCGGCCGUGAAUCCGGCCGGGGGACAUUGUCAGGUGGGCAGUUUGACUGGGGCGGUCGCCUCCAAAAAGGUAACGGAGGCGCUCAAAGGUUCGCUCAGCACGGACGGAAACCGUGCCUCUGAGUGCAAACGCAAAAGCGAGCCUAACUGCGAGGCUGACGGGCCGAGCAGUAACGAAAGUUGGAGUUAGUGAUCCGGCGGUAUGUGAG